CACGUAGGGUGCGAGCGUUGUCCGGAAUUAUUGGGCGUAAAGAGCUCGUAGGCGGUUCGUCGCGUCGGCUGUGAAAUCCCGAGGCUCAACCUCGGGUCUGCAGUCGAUACGGGCGGACUGGAGUUCGGCAGGGGAGACUGGAAGUUCCUGGAUGUAGCGGUGAAAUGACGCAGAGUAUCAGGGAGGGAACACCCGGUGGCGAAGGCGGGUCUCUGGGCCGAUACUGACGCUGGAGGAGCGAAAGCGUGGGGAGCGAACAGG
rnacentral:rRNA from 1 species